rnacentral:misc_RNA from 1 species
GAUGAAGAACGUAGCGAAAUGCGAUACUUGGUGUGAAUUGCAGAAUCCCGUGAACCAUCGAGUCUUUGAACGCAAGUUGCGCCCGAAGCCACUAGGCCGAGGGCACGCCUGCCUGGGCGUCACACGCCGUUGCCCCCCCAUCUACUCCUUCGGGAUUGCGGGGGGGCAGAUGAUGGCCUCCCGUGCGCCUAGCCGCGCGGUUGGCAUAAAUACCAAGUCCUCGGCGACGCACGCCACGACAAUCGGUGGUUGCGAAACCUCGGUUGCCCGUCGUGUGCGUUCGUCGCGCAUCGAGGGCUCGAAAAAAUGCUCGGCUCCGGCUGGGCUUUCAACGCGACCCCAGGUCAGGCGGGGUUACCCGCUGAAUUUAAGCAUAUCAAUAAGCGGAGGA